rnacentral:rRNA from 3 species
UUAAAUUGAAGAGUUUGAUCAUGGCUCAGAUUGAACGCUGGCGGCAGGCCUAACACAUGCAAGUCGAACGGUAACAGGAAGCAGCUUGCUGCUUCGCUGACGAGUGGCGGACGGGUGAGUAAUGUCUGGGAAGCUGCCUGAUGGAGGGGGAUAACUACUGGAAACGGUAGCUAAUACCGCAUAAUGUCGCAAGACCAAAGAGGGGGACCUUCGGGCCUCUUGCCAUCGGAUGUGCCCAGAUGGGAUUAGCUUGUUGGUGGGGUAACGGCUCACCAAGGCGACGAUCCCUAGCUGGUCUGAGAGGAUGACCAGCCACACUGGAACUGAGACACGGUCCAGACUCCUACGGGAGGCAGCAGUGGGGAAUAUUGCACAAUGGGCGCAAGCCUGAUGCAGCCAUGCCGCGUGUAUGAAGAAGGCCUUCGGGUUGUAAAGUACUUUCAGCGGGGAGGAAGGGAGUAAAGUUAAUACCUUUGCUCAUUGACGUUACCCGCAGAAGAAGCACCGGCUAACUCCGUGCCAGCAGCCGCGGUAAUACGGAGGGUGCAAGCGUUAAUCGGAAUUACUGGGCGUAAAGCGCACGCAGGCGGUUUGUUAAGUCAGAUGUGAAAUCCCCGGGCUCAACCUGGGAACUGCAUCUGAUACUGGCAAGCUUGAGUCUCGUAGAGGGGGGUAGAAUUCCAGGUGUAGCGGUGAAAUGCGUAGAGAUCUGGAGGAAUACCGGUGGCGAAGGCGGCCCCCUGGACGAAGACUGACGCUCAGGUGCGAAAGCGUGGGGAGCAAACAGGAUUAGAUACCCUGGUAGUCCACGCCGUAAACGAUGUCGACUUGGAGGUUGUGCCCUUGAGGCGUGGCUUCCGGAGCUAACGCGUUAAGUCGACCGCCUGGGGAGUACGGCCGCAAGGUUAAAACUCAAAUGAAUUGACGGGGGCCCGCACAAGCGGUGGAGCAUGUGGUUUAAUUCGAUGCAACGCGAAGAACCUUACCUGGUCUUGACAUCCACGGAAGUUUUCAGAGAUGAGAAUGUGCCUUCGGGAACCGUGAGACAGGUGCUGCAUGGCUGUCGUCAGCUCGUGUUGUGAAAUGUUGGGUUAAGUCCCGCAACGAGCGCAACCCUUAUCCUUUGUUGCCAGCGGUCCGGCCGGGAACUCAAAGGAGACUGCCAGUGAUAAACUGGAGGAAGGUGGGGAUGACGUCAAGUCAUCAUGGCCCUUACGACCAGGGCUACACACGUGCUACAAUGGCGCAUACAAAGAGAAGCGACCUCGCGAGAGCAAGCGGACCUCAUAAAGUGCGUCGUAGUCCGGAUUGGAGUCUGCAACUCGACUCCAUGAAGUCGGAAUCGCUAGUAAUCGUGGAUCAGAAUGCCACGGUGAAUACGUUCCCGGGCCUUGUACACACCGCCCGUCACACCAUGGGAGUGGGUUGCAAAAGAAGUAGGUAGCUUAACCUUCGGGAGGGCGCUUACCACUUUGUGAUUCAUGACUGGGGUGAAGUCGUAACAAGGUAACCGUAGGGGAACCUGCGGUUGGAUCACCUCCUUA